AAGAAUAUUCAGUGAAUAUUCAAGUGACGCUAAACAGCAACUACUCUUACUGACUCUUAGCCUUCUGGGGGACCAAAGAGGGCAGCAUCAAGUGGAUGAGGAGGAUGAGGAAGUCAGAGCUCAUACACCUCUACAAGAAGUACUGGGGGAUCACAAGAGCAGCAUGCAGAAACGGAUUGAGUGCAUAUGUGAAGGACUAGAACAGAGAAAACAAGAUCUACACACAGCUCGACAUCACAGAAGGAGAGAGUGACGUGGUGAAUAACGAGCAUGAAAUUAUACAGAUGGAUAAGCUGUCCCGAAACACACCUGAGACUCCCAUCGACUGUAAUGACAUUUUCAAGGCUUUACCUGGACAAGGCAGACAUAUCAGGACCGUGAUGACCAAGGGCAUUGCUGGCAUUGGAAAGACGGUGUCCGUGCAUAAGUUCAUUCUCGACUGGGCAGAUGAAAAAACUAACCAGGAAGUCCACCUACUGCUUUUUCUUCCUUUCAGAGAGCUGAACUUGCUCAAAGAUGACGAGUUCACUUUUCACAAUCUUCUGCUGAGGUUCCACCCAGAACUGGCAGCACUGAGUGGGAUAUGUUACCGUAACUUGCAGGUGGUGUUCAUCUUUGAUGGCAUAGAUGAAAGUAAACUUCCGUUGAACAAUAAAAACCCAUGUAAUAUAUCUGCCAUUUGCCAUAAUGUUCCUCCCACAGCCUGAGAAAGUGCAGCCUUUCUUCAAGUCACUGUGAGGAUUUGGCCUCCAUUCUCUGCUCCUCGGCCUCCAGCCUAAUGGAGCUGGACCUGAGAGACAACGACCUGCAGGACUCAGGAGUGACGCUGCUCUACUCUGGACUACAGACACACUGGACUACAGACACACACAGGAGAGAGAGAGACAGAAUAACAUCUUCUCUCCUGCAGGUUGUCGUUCUGUGGCGUGACUGAGAAAGGCUGCGAGUUUCUGGCUUCUGCUCUGAGUGCAAACCCCUCCUAUCUGAGAGAGUUGGACCUGAGCUACAAUCACCCAGGAGACACUGGAGUCAAGCUACUCUCUGAGAGAAAGGACUGCAAACUGGACACAACUCAUUGUUGAUCAUGAUGCAGAGUGUUGGCUGAAGUCAGGACUGAAGAAAUAUGCCCAUCAGCUCAAGCUGGACCCCGACACAGCCAACUAUGUGAUUUCCAUCUCUGAGAAUCAGCAGAAGUUAACUACUUCUGACGAGAGCUACCCCGACCACCCUGACAGGAUUAAGAGCUGUGAACAGGUGCUGUGUAGUGAAGGCCUGACUGGACGCUGCUACUAGGAGGCCGAGUGGAAAUUCAACACUGUCUAUGUAGGAGCGGCGUAUAGGAAACAAGGAAUAAAAGAGAGAGACUGUCGUCUGGGACUCAACAACACGUCCUGGGGCCUGCUGUGUCAUCAUUCAUCUAACCUUUUAUAUCAAGACACCUACACUGCCAGCCAUGACCGUAAGACCACCCCCAAAGUUUCACUUACAUUUGACUGCAACAGAGUAGGAGUGUUUCUGGACUGGCCAGCCGGUACUCUGUCCUUCUACAGCGUCUCUUCUGGCACACUCACCCACCUGCACACAUUCCACCACAAAUUCACAGAGCCCCUCUGUCCAGGGUUUGGCUUCCGUUUGUCUUUGACAUCACUUGUAACAGCCAAUGAGGGUUUCAUUUCCCUCUGUCGGGUUUGAGAGGUGUUUAACACAC